CUGGGUCUGGGCCUCGUGCCCGCUACCCGUCCUUUGUCAUGAGACGCGAAAGCAACUCACAUCGCUUCGGCCCCGGGCGACACCCCGCUAUUGAGUUAGCGGGCGGACCCCGCGGCCGGCCUUGCAAACCCACGCGGAAUCUUGAAGUCUGAACAAAAGAUAAACGAAAAGCA
rnacentral:misc_RNA from 1 species